rnacentral:rRNA from 1 species
CAGCAGCCACGGUAAUACGUAGGUGGCAAGCGUUGUCCGGAAUUAUUGGGCGUAAAGGGCUCGCAGGCGGUUUCUUAAGUCUGAUGUGAAAGCCCCCGGCUCAACCGGGGAGGGUCAUUGGAAACUGGGAAACUUGAGUGCGGAAGAGGAGAGUGGAAUUCCACGUGUAGCGGUGAAAUGCGUAGAGAUGUGGAGGAACACCAGUGGCGAAGGCGACUCUCUGGUCUGUAACUGACGCUGAGGAGCGAAAGCGUGGGGAGCGAACAGGAUUAGAUACCCCGGUAGUCCCUGUCUCUUAUAA